AGACCUCAGGUCAGGCGGGGCUACCCGCUGAGUUUAAGCAUAUCAAGAAACGGAGGA
rnacentral:rRNA from 1 species